UGCCGCGCGCCUGCGCCUGCCAAGAGGAAGGCGGGGGGAGAGCCGGGCUUCGAGAACGUCGCCGUGGAGGUGGUGGAGACAUAUAGGAGUUAUCGUAGGCGAAUAUCCCAACUGCAGGGUGGAAAGCCUUCAUCAAUCCUUGGGAAACCUGGGACUUCAUUUAUAGGGGACACGGGUUCGAGGCCUGGUCUGGGAAGAUCCCACAUGCCGCGGAGCAACUGGGCCUGUGAGCCACAACUACUGAGCCUGCGCGUCUGGAGCCUGUGCUCCGCAACAAGAGAGGCCGCGACAGUGAGAGGCCCGCGCAUCGCAAUGAAGAGGGGCCCCCGCUUGCCGCAACUAAAGAAGGCCCUCGCACAGAAACGAAGAC